rnacentral:tRNA from 1 species
GGUGAGAUGGCCGAGUGGUUAUGGCGCUAGUUUCAGGAAUACCUGGAGCCUUCGCUUUCUGGUUGAAAGUACUAGUGGGUGUACGUAAAACCAUCCUACAGUACCCUCAAGAGCACUACUGACAAUUUCCUUUAGAAAACCGCGUGGGUUCGAGUCCCACUCUCAUCA